rnacentral:rRNA from 1 species
UACGUAGGGUGCAAGCGUUAAUCGGAAUUACUGGGCGUAAAGCGAGCGCAGGCGGUUCUGUAAGACAGAUGUGAAAUCCCCGGGCUUAACCUGGGAAUUGCAUUUGUGACUGCAGAGCUAGAGUGUGUCAGAGGGAGGUAGAAUUCCGCGUGUAGCAGUGAAAUGCGCAGAUAUGCGGAGGAAUACCGGUGGCGAAGGCGGCCUCCUGGGAUAACACUGACGCUCAUGCUCGAAAGCGUGGGGAGCAAACAGG